CCUAACACAUGCAAGUCGAACGGUAACAGGAAACAGCUUGCUGUUUCGCUGACGAGUGGCGGACGGGUGAGUAAUGUCUGGGAAACUGCCUGAUGGAGGGGGAUAACUACUGGAAACGGUAGCUAAUACCGCAUAACGUCGCAAGACCAAAGAGGGGGACCCUCGGGCCUCUUGCCAUCGGAUGUGCCCAGAUGGGAUUAGCUUGUUGGUGGGGUAACGGCUCACCAAGGCGACGAUCCCUAGCUGGUCUGAGAGGAUGACCAGCCACACUGGAACUGAGACACGGUCCAGACUCCUACGGGAGGCAGCAGUGGGGAAUAUUGCACAAUGGGCGCAAGCCUGAUGCAGCCAUGCCGCGUGUAUGAAGAAGGCCUUCGGGUUGUAAAGUACUUUCAGCGGGGAGGAAGGGAGUAAAGUUAAUACCUUUGCUCAUUGACGUUACCCGCAGAAGAAGCACCGGCUAACUCCGUGCCAGCAGCCGCGGUAAUACGGAGGGUGCAAGCGUUAAUCGGAAUUACUGGGCGUAAAGCGCACGCAGGCGGUUUGUUAAGUCAGAUGUGAAAUCCCCGGGCUCAACCUGGGAACUGCAUCUGAUACUGGCAAGCUUGAGUCUCGUAGAGGGGGGUAGA
rnacentral:rRNA from 1 species